rnacentral:lncRNA from 1 species
AAUUCUUCAACUUAGGAUUUUAUUUUAUUUUUUUCCAUUCUAUAUUUCAGGAAUCAAAAACAUUGUUAGUAAUUCUCAAUAAAUACCUCAAUAGAUGAAUCCCGCGCGUAUAUGAACAUCAAACUAGCUAAAGAACAUCAAAAUGUUGUUUCUUUUCCAAAUAGUAUCUAAAAUGGUGUUUUUUUUCAUAAUGCUAAGUAGAUUCUAACCAAAGGAUAGCAUUUUCCAUUGGUGGAAGUGCAAGGGCCAUGGAGAAUUCACAAGAGAAAUUUCUUGCAGUAAACUGACAGCUAAUUCAAGACAGGCUAAGAUAAUAAGAUCAUUCCAUUAUGAUGCUAUGUUGCCACAUUUGAAUAAUAUAUGCUCUUCUUCUAUUGAGGUUAUAUCUCCAUUGACAGAAACCCAAGUUUCUGCAAUUUUGUCCACUGUCCCUUCAAGAAUCUCAACCAAAGUAAAUCCUCGCCAUGUCCCUCUAGAGUCCGUUGAGCUUCUGUCGUCACCGCUGAUUCUUUUAACUCUGGGAACAAUAGCCCCAUUCAGGUAUAUAGUCUUGUCACUGCCAACCACAAGCAUUUUUCGUAGACCAUUUCCAUAUGCCAGCUCUUUAUGCAUAUGGCCGAACACAAUCAGAGGGAUAUUCAAACUGGUCUUCUCCUUUAAGUGGGAAAUUGCUUGAGCUAGAUCUGUACCAGAGGAUGAGGAUGUUCUUGUAAAUAUAAUGGGGUGAACAUUUAUUCUAUAUUAUAGACAAAUACAUUGCAUCUUAUAACACAUUUUUGGUUUUGUUCCCUAUGCAUAUCUAAUGACUUCAUGCUCCUUUUAAGUUGCUAAUCAUUUAAGGCUAAACUAAUUAUACAUAACAAUCACAUCAAUGCCCAGAAUGAAUUGUAUUGCAUGGUGCACUAAUUUAGUGAAUUAACAAAGCUGAGACACCUAUAAAAGCACAUGAAUUCAAAAAAGUUACCUGGAUCACCAUAAUCACCGCCGCCAAACACCCAAUCUUUUCCACAAAUGUCGUUCAAAUUAGAACCAAGACCUGAAAAAAGGCAAUUAAGGCCAAAAAUAGAUAUCAAUAAAAGCUAACAUUUUGUCGUGAAUUUUGGCCAGCUGAUCACCUGUGGGCCCAUUAUGUGCGAGCAAUAUAAGUAGAUGGUCUUCUGGAGUGCCCAAAGCGGUAUGAUAGAUUCUCAUGGCACUUCCAUCCAUGUCCUGGACUCCAUAUCUGAGAGAGUAUUCCAAUUUUAGAAAGUUGCAGAAUGAGCAAUAAAAUCAAGCAACAGACUACAUGGAAAAGAAAUUAAAGAAAAAAAGAUUCAAUAUUAGCUAAUCCAUUCAUUCAUUUGAAAUCUAACUCGGGUCUAGUGAAGUCACACGAAUUUGAAUUGCAAAGAAACAUGAUUAAAUUUUGUGAUUUUAAUAUCAAGGCAAAUACUAAGCAAGAUAUAGGAGAGCAAGUCACUGCUGAAUUUGUUUCUUUGAAAAAUAAGAAAGAAAACAUGAAGAACUGUGACAUUUAAAGAUUAAAAUGCCAUAAACCUUCAUUCUUUUCGGGUUUUAUAAGUAGACAUGAAAAGUCCACAAUAAUGAAUGGAAAGAAAACAAAGAAUAAUCGAAUUUUGGAAUUUACUUCAACCAAUACAAACCUUGCAGACAGAAGUUUAUUCCGAAAUAGCUGCUCACCACCACAUGAAAAUGGCCGUCCACCAACAACACUAAGUUUAAGCUCAGGGAAAUCCAAACGUUUGUAACCUACAUGUUCUUUGCCAAGACUGACCAUUUCCAAAAAGGUAUUUCAUUCAACAAAUAAAUUACUUCAGAGUAGAGUCCCAGCAUGAUGUGCAAUGUGCUGGAGGAGAUGUAUUGAAACAGUUCUAUAUCUUUCUAUCACUAUAUUAUAUAUUGCAUGCACGCAAUUUGUAAUGAAAGUGAUAUUGAAGGCCAUAUAUAAAUGACUCAAAUACGAGUAGAUGCAUAUAUGCAAUAUCCUCUCAUUAUUUGAGAUAUUUUUUUUAUUUAAUUUUUCAUAGAAGAAAGGAAUAGAUGAAUUAUUUGAAAUAUACAUGACUUACACUCUGUAUGGAAAAAAUAUCCAGUCCAAAGGAAUAAUAACAGUUCACAGAUAUUAUAAAACCUUUCCAAGUCAAUUUACCGUUCCCCCUUUCUUCUCUCUCUACCCUUCCUUCUACAUAGCCAGUUUCAUAUUCAAUACCAACUGUCUAAGUAGGAAGCGGAUAACAAUACUCCAAUAACACCAAAGAAAUGAAUGAAACAGUAAUCCUACAUGAUUCUUAAUGCUGACAUGUCAAGCAAUAUAAAGAAAGAGAUACUAUAAGCAUAAAGAUAAGAGCAAAAUUGGAAUAUUUUUAGAUGUAAACAUCUACUUCAUGCUAAUGAAGCUAUAAAAAGCAGCAUAUAGAACAUUUGCGUUGCUCAGGGACAAGAUAAGCUCACCAAUCCAGCUGAAGUUGAACACCAUCCUUUGUCCUAAUAUUCAAAUAAAAAUAAUAAUAAUGUAGAAUGAAUUAACUUUAUGUCAGGAAUAUGAAAACAUACUCCUAUGGCCUAUUUUACAAAACUCAGAGAAUAAGGCUAGCUAUCUGCAAUAUAUCACAUAAACACAAGUACAAACAAGAAAUAUACUCUUAUAAAAAAUUUCAAACAACUUGGGAACUUCCUUUGUUUUUCUUUCUUUCUUUAUUCAGAUUACCCGAUUAACAUUGCAUAAAAGAACUGAAACGGCUGUUUAUAUUAUUAACAUCGCACAUAAGAACUGAAACAACUGUUUAUUAUAUUUAACAGUACCAGUCCCCAUAAAUUUAAAAAAGAAAAUUGCCCAAAGCAUAGAACAAACAACUCAUUUUAAUACAUAGAACCAAUGAAUUAGAUGCAAUUAUAAAGUGGGCUGCAGCAAUACACACUUACUUUUGAGAGAACUUCUGAGUAUACCAGGAAUCAUGAUUUCCCAAAAUAACUGCUUUAGGAAAUUUAAGAUCUGCAACACUUUGGACGAGCUCUACAUUCUCAUUACCAAAAUCACCUAAACAAGGCCCAAGGAGAGGGGAGGACAAGAAAACAAGAAAAAAAGGCCAACAAGCCUAAUAGGUUAGAUUUAACAUUUUACUAGUAAUGUUGCAAACGCAUACUCAGAAUGACUGGUCAUGGUACAUAUUAGGCUGAUUUUCAUAAGUCUAAUGAACAUGUAUAUAGUGCAUCUGCAUGCACUAUGUGUCAAUAUGAACUGAAAAUUGUUGGUGUCCCACAUGGAACCAGAUCCCUUUUAAAUAUUUCCUUGAUAUUUGGCUUGUCAGUGAAGACAGUCAAAAAGGGUUGUGAAGGCACCGUGUAUGAAUUAAAUGAGGACCAGCCAAAGACACCGUACAGGUAAAAGGUGAUUGAGAAGAAAACCUGCCUGUAAACAGCACCAAAUCCAGCUGCAUAAUGCAACAUAUAUUAGGUAGGUAGAGGAUAGCUAUGCACAAAAAUAAUAGGAAAUGCUCACGGAAAAUCUAAAAGAAAAUUGAGAGAAAAAAAAUGGCUGCUUAAAGGCAACAACACCAAGCUAUAAAGAGUUUGUUGACCCACAACAACUUAAUCUUACAUGGAAUUUUUACUAAAAUCAAUUUUUAGAAUUGUGAAAUGAAUCUCAAGAUGGACUCCCAAAGUUAGCUAAACUCAAAUAGGCACUACAAAAAGCUUGAAUAGUCCAUGGCCCAAAUAAGCACAUAGCAACCUCAACUUAAACUCAAUGUCAGUCCUGCUUAUUUACAUCCUUAAUGCAGGAUUGUUCACCUGUGUUACAUUUUACCUACACCAAUAUUUUUAAAUAUGAUAUGUAUGCAUAUGUGAGUGUCUUUAGUUCCAGCAGAAACUAUCCUUCAAUGCAGAAAAAGAGAAAUACAAGAAAAGGGACACUAUGAUGAGCAUCAACUUAAUUAAGGGUGUCUUUUGCAUGCCAAAGUUUAGUGGUUUUAACUGAUACAGACAACCCAAUAUAAUGUCGGCAUAACCACCUGUGUCUCUUGAUUGCAAUUGGGAGAAGCAAUGGUUGGCACCAGCAUCAAGUUCAUAGAAACCCUACAUUGAAAUUCUGUACUUUCAAUGUGGGAUCCAAGUCCCAUAAAUUAUAAUUGGGAUAAUAACAUCCAAUCUUUUUCUUCUCUUGGAUCCAUGGAUCAGGCCCACCAAAGUACGGCCAUCCAUUACCGUCUUUGUCUAUUUCUCAUGACUCCCAAAUUCAUGUUCAACGAUGCCAUCUAAAUUCACUUUCCAUAGAUAUAUUGCAUUUUGGCCCAUUAAUGAACCCAAAAACUCUGCAAAACCUCUACAGAACACCUAAAAUGAAUUGUGACAGAUGACUCCUAUUUUCACAUUACAAAUCCCAAAAUCAGUGCAGAUGUUUUCUCCUCAAUUACAAGGAAAAUUACUUUUUAGUUAUGAACACGAAUAUAUAGAAUUAUAGAGUAAUAAACGCCCAUCCCCCCGACAGACAGACAGACAGACAGACACACACACACACACACACACACAAAAGCGAAGAGAAGUACCUGCAGAAGUUGAAGAGCCUUUGUAUCCUCUUCUAGAUUCCAAUCAUCAUGCUUCAAAAAAACCCCAGAAUUUUCAAAAAAAGAAACAUAAUUUGCUGAAUAAAAAUUUUCCAAAAAUGAAAUGAUUCCACAAUUAAAACUUAUAUUAAUCAAUUGCUAACCACACCAACAAAACCAAAGAUAGGGUUUCCAAGUUGAAAACGGAACACAUGCUUCGAAGAGCAAAUAAAUGCGAGAGAGAGAAACUCACUACGUCUCCGACGACAGCUACUCGAGCCGACGCCGACAUUGAAGAGCAAUGGGUGGUUCUCUUAGAGGAAAGGAAGGGGCGAGUAUGAAAAAAGCACGGAGUGGGCGCGUGAAGAAACGCGCUCAAGUUUGCCAUAACAUAACCUUCGCUUCCAAUUUGGCGCGCUAUUUUUACUGGCAAAUAAAGGAGUAGGUGGAACUUUAAGCCGUUAAACUAACACUAUUGCUGUCCACGUCACUGCCGUUCCGUGUAAAAUACUGUCAAAUGUCAUUCUCAAGCUAUGACUCAUUUUUCAAAAUUAAAUGGCAAAAAAAUAACAUGGUCAAAGAAAAAAAAAAAAGAUCAACCAAGAUGGAUUUGAGCAUGUGAUAUCAAAGCAUUUUUCAGCAUCCUUAUUGUUUCCUAAGUCAAAUUUUCAUCUUCUGUUAUUGUAACACGUCAAAAUGUCAAUAUGAAGCUCAAAUAUCUCAACCCAAAUUUCUCUAAGCUACAUCCAAGAUUUUCCGAAGGUGACAUCUUUUACUACAAAAUAAAUUGUUGACUAUAAAAUAAAUUGACUGUAAAAUUUUCGUUGUUUCAUCUUUAUCGGUCUUAAUCAAUACAUUGUUCACUCUAAAUAUAUAAAAAUAUAAAGAUGCACAUAUACACUCGUAGAGACAAUAUAAUAAAAUAUAAGAUUCUUAGAGCCAGUUAACUUUUAUAUAUAUAAUAUUUAUUUUAUAUUUUUAAAAGGAUAUUUUUUAUAUUUUUCAACUAUAUCUAAUUUGAUAUAUCUAAUUUUUACAUUUUACAUUAUUUUUACAUUGUUUGAUAUAUAAUUUUUCUAAGUUGAAAGAUUACGAAAUUAUAUCUAAAAUAUAUCUGUCAAAUAUCUGCCCUAUCCAAUUCUCUCAUUUAAAUAUUUUACAAAGAAACAAAAAAAAGAAACAGUUACGUGUCAGAAGACUUGAGCUAUCAUCAAAGUCAAAACAUAAAUAGGAAAUCAAGAACUUUUCUUCAACAAGAACCUAACAAGAACCUAAAUUCUCAGGCACAAAUUAACAGCUAAUAAGCAUAAGCUCUUUCUUUCUUCUUUCAUGGCUAUCAAAACCACCGUUGCCCUCCUAAUAUUUCUAAUCACUCUCAAUUUUCAUUUCUUGGAGGCAAAAGAUUGGAUCAAAGCAGCAUACUAUGAUUCAUCAAGUAACCUCCCUGCAUCUGAAGUAAAUUCUGCUCUUUUCACUCACAUUUUCUAUGCUUUUGUUGCUAUAAACACUUCCACUUACCAGCUUUCGUUCCCCUUCUCUACUGAAUCAUCUCUCUCAACUUUCACAGUUAACAUUAAACGAAACAACCCAUCUGUCAUUCCAGUUCUGUCAAUAGGACUCGGAUAUGGAGACUAUUCUCCAUUUUCUUCCAUGGUUAGCAAACCUUCUUAUAGGAAGUCUUUUAUCAAGUCUUCAAUGAAAAAAGCCAGGUUUUACGGAUUUGGUGGCCUGGACCUCUGUUGGGUAUGGCCUAACACAACAUCUGACAUGGAAAAUAUUGGAGUUCUUUUAGAUGAAUGGCGUGAAGCUAUAAAUUUUGAGUCAAGAAACAGCACUGUUACUUCUGAGCCAAAACUUAUCCUGACAAUGGCUAUUUAUCGCCAGCCAACUAUUGCCGAUACGAGUUUCCCAGUUGAAUCCAUGCAAAGAAACUUGGAUUGGGCAAAUCUUAUAGCAUAUGAUUAUCAUUUGCCUUUAAAAGAGAAUAUUACAGGUAAUCAUGCAGCUUUAUUUGAUCCUUUAGGUCAUAUUAGUACUGAUUCUGGUAUAAAGUAAUGAUUAAGGAGAGGAUUGACAUCAGAAAAGCUGGUUUUGGGUUUGCCUUAUCAUGGCUAUGCAUGGAAAUUAGUGAACUCAAAUGACAAGUACUCCAUUGGUGCACUAGCAUCAGGACCAGCGCUUACAAUGGAUGGUUCAAUAGGCUACAAGUUGAUCUUAAUUAUGGCUAUGGAGCCAUUUCAAGCUACAAUGCUACAUAUGUAGUUAACUACUUUAGCAUCAAAUCAAUUUGGAUCAAUUUUGAUGAUGUUGAGGUUAUUCAGACUAAAAUUUUAUAUGCUAAGACAAAGGGAUUGCUUGGGUACAAUGCUUUUCAGCUUGGAAACGAUGAUGAUAACUGGGAGCUUUCUCGAGCUGGUAUGGAAAUUGUUCAUCUAUUACCUAAGUUCUGUUUGAUACUUUUUGUUGAGAAAAGUAAUCAUAAAAGCUUGAAAGCAGCUAAAUAAUACUCUCCAACUACUUUUUCUAACAGCAUAAAAAAUUUUAUUUUUCUGAAGAAAUAGUUGCAAUCUCUAUGCCAGACACUCGUAUAUAUAUAUUUAUAUGCACUGGAAUGAGGUAUUUAAAUCAUUUCUGUAAGUUGUUUUGUGUAUCUUUCUAAUACCUGGAAUAAAUUGGCAGCUUAUGAGGUUGGUGAAGUUCAUGAAAGGAAAAAGCAUUUAUGGAUUAGAGUUUCAAUCCCAAUUGCAAUGAUUACUCUGCUGAUCCUACUUGGGUUUCUAUCAUAUUAUAUAAAAAGCAGAAAACUUGAAUCAAAAGGUAAAGAUUUUCUUAUUUUUGCCUACUUAGACUCCAUUGUUUUGCUUUCUUUAGAAAUAGGUAAAUAUCUAUGAACAUGAUUCUUGACAGCAUUUGGAUUCUCUCUGUGUUUUAUGUUUCAGGGAAACUGAGUUUUGGUGAUACAGCAGUUGAUGAAUAUCAGUACCAAAAUGCUCCAAAUUUGCAAAUAUUCAAGUUUUCUGAAAUCAAAGCAGCUACAGGCAACUUUUCAUGCGAAAAUAGGCUUGGAGAGGCGCUUACAAUGGAUGGUUCAAUAGGCUACAAGUUGAUCUUAAUUAUGGCUAUGGAGCCAUUUCAAGCUACAAUGCUACAUAUGUAGUUAACUACUUUAGCAUCAAAUCAAUUUGGAUCAAUUUUGAUGAUGUUGAGGUUAUUCAGACUAAAAUUUUAUAUGCUAAGACAAAGGGAUUGCUUGGGUACAAUGCUUUUCAGCUUGGAAACGAUGAUGAUAACUGGGAGCUUUCUCGAGCUGGUAUGGAAAUUGUUCAUCUAUUACCUAAGUUCUGUUUGAUACUUUUUGUUGAGAAAAGUAAUCAUAAAAGCUUGAAAGCAGCUAAAUAAUACUCUCCAACUACUUUUUCUAACAGCAUAAAAAAUUUUAUUUUUCUGAAGAAAUAGUUGCAAUCUCUAUGCCAGACACUCGUAUAUAUAUAUUUAUAUGCACUGGAAUGAGGUAUUUAAAUCAUUUCUGUAAGUUGUUUUGUGUAUCUUUCUAAUACCUGGAAUAAAUUGGCAGCUUAUGAGGUUGGUGAAGUUCAUGAAAGGAAAAAGCAUUUAUGGAUUAGAGUUUCAAUCCCAAUUGCAAUGAUUACUCUGCUGAUCCUACUUGGGUUUCUAUCAUAUUAUAUAAAAAGCAGAAAACUUGAAUCAAAAGGUAAAGAUUUUCUUAUUUUUGCCUACUUAGACUCCAUUGUUUUGCUUUCUUUAGAAAUAGGUAAAUAUCUAUGAACAUGAUUCUUGACAGCAUUUGGAUUCUCUCUGUGUUUUAUGUUUCAGGGAAACUGAGUUUUGGUGAUACAGCAGUUGAUGAAUAUCAGUACCAAAAUGCUCCAAAUUUGCAAAUAUUCAAGUUUUCUGAAAUCAAAGCAGCUACAGGCAACUUUUCAUGCGAAAAUAGGCUUGGAGAGGGUGGAUAUGGACCUGUUUACAAGGUGAAUUUCAACAAAUCCUUCAUUUUAGGUGCUUCUUAUAAGGUUAAUAAAACUAGUAACUAUAUAUAUGUAUAUAAAAAUGAACUUGGAAUGAAUAUAUUCAAAUUGCUAUGUAUUUGAAUCAUUGGGUGUAAGAAAAUUCCAUAUUGACUAUUUUGUUGGGCUUCGUCAGGGUAAACUUGCAAAGGGAGGGGAAAUAGCAGUGAAAAGGCUUUCAAAAACUUCACAUCAAGGAUUUAAGGAGUUCAUGAAUGAAGUUAAACUUACAGCAAAGCUGCAACAUGUUAAUCUAAUAAGGCUUUUGGGAUUUUGCACUGAUAGAGGAGAGAAAAUGUUGAUAUACGAGUACAUGCCCAACAAAAGCUUGGAUUUCUAUUUGUUUGGUAAGUGAUAUAUUAUUUAUUUCCCUAUUUGGUUCUCUCUCCAGAUUAGAAAUAAUAAAAGAAGCUUAGGCUCGUAACUCUGUUUUUGAUGCAGAUCAAAAGAGAAGAUUGGAAUUGAAUUUGGAACGACGCGUUCAUAUCAUUGAAGGGAUUGCUCAAGGGCUUAUGUACCUUCAAGAAUACUCAAAUUUGACAAUAAUUCAUAGAGAUAUUAAAGCUAGCAACAUUUUACUAGACGAUGAGAUGAAGCCAAAGAUUUCUGAUUUUGGUAUGGCAAGAAUUUUGCAGAAGGAGAGCAACGAAGCCAAGACAGGCCAGAUUGUUGGGACAUAGUAAGUAAAUUGCUUCUUGAAAAGCAAUGUAUUUGAUAUCAUCUAACAAUUACAUACAUACAUAUACCAGAAUCCUCUCCUUAACCAUCCCUUUAUACCAGAACCAACCCAAAUUUCUCUAAGCUACAUCCAAGAUUUUCUCUAAGCUACAUCAUUGACUGAACAAGUUUUGACUUUGAUGAUAGCUUAAGUCUUCUGACACGUAACUGUUUCUUUUUUUUGAUAUCAUCUAACAAUUACAUACAUACAUAUACCAGAAUCCUCUCCUUAACCAUCCCUUUAUACCAGAACCAACCCAAAUUUCUCUAAGCUACAUCCAAGAUUUUCCGAAGGUGACAUCUUUUACUACAAAAUAAAUUGUUGACUAUAAAAUAAAUUGACUGUAAAAUUUUCGUUGUUUCAUCUUUAUCGGUCUUAAUCAAUACAUUGUUCACUCUAAAUAUAUAAAAAUAUAAAGAUGCACAUAUACACUCGUAGAGACAAUAUAAUAAAAUAUAAAAUUCUUAGAGCCAGUUAACUUUUAUAUAUAUAAUAUUUAUUUUAUAUUUUUAAAAGGAUAUUUUUUAUAUUUUUCAACUAUAUCUAAUUUGAUAUAUCUAAUUUUUACAUUUUACAUUAUUUUUACAUUGUUUGAUAUAUAAUUUUUCUAAGUUGAAAGAUUACGAAAUUAUAUCUAAAAUAUAUCUGUCAAAUAUCUUACCUAUCCAAUUCUCUCAUUUAAAUAUUUUACAAAGAAACAAAAAAAAGAAACAGUUACGUGUCAGAAGACUUAAGCUAUCAUCAAAGUCAAAACUUGUUCAGUCAAUGAUGUAGCUUAGAGAAAAUCUUGGAUGUAGCUUAGAGAAAUUUGUUCAGUCAAUGAUGUGUCCAUUACCAAAAUGUUGCCCAGAUAACAUAGCUUUGCCUUCUUCAAUCGAAAUUGUAUAAACAGGCAUACAAUUGCAUUUUAGAGUAAACAAUUUCUAUUCCAUGGAUGCUACCAUUGCAAUAUAUUAAAACAUCACCUAUUAAUUAAUAUUUUAUUCCUUUUUUCAUUCUAAUUAACCCCUUCAUUUGCAUUUAGCAAACGUUAAUAUUUAAUAAACAUUGAUUUUUUAUCAUUAAAUAAUAGAAAUACAAACUAAUGAUAUCAACUGGAAUUAUAAUUAAUAACCACUAAAUAAUGAAAUUACAGUAAUGUGAUUAACUAAUUGAAUUGAAAUAUAAUACCAAUUUAUUAAAGUUUUGCCUUAUAAUUAAAUCUUUUUAUAUUUUAUUUAAUUAUAAAAAAUUAACAAAUUAAUAAACAUUUCAAUUGAAUAUAUGAAGUUUCUAAAGUAAAAAGGACAUAAUUUAAUUUAUAAACAUUUCAAAAUAUUUCAAUCUAUUAAUUAAAAAUUUCAAUUUAUUACUUGAAAGUUUCAAAACGGAUAUAAUUUCACAUUGUAUCAUUUAAUUAAAAUAAAUUAUUUAAAUUAAAUGAACAACAAUUUUCUAAAAACAUUUAUCCUUCCAAUUGUUUAAAAAAAAUAUAAAAUUACACAAUAUGCCAACGGAAAUUAUAUAAACAUACUACUACUAGUAGUAAACUCAAAACUCUAUUAAUCUGUAGUCUAGGAUUCAUUAGUUAACUACCAAAGUAAGGGCCAAAAAGAAAUUAUUAACAUUUUUCUCCAAUUAACCACUAAGAUGUUUUCAAUGAAAAAAAGGGAAAAAGAAAACAUUUGAAAAAAGAAAAUCCAGACCAAGAAACGUUUUGAGUCGAGGCUCAGAUCUUAUUGUGUCAAUCAGGAAGGUGACCAGAGCUAUGGCUGCAACAAAGAAACUAAGUGCGACUGAGAGAGUUGGAGCCAAAAUAAAUAAAUAAAUAAAUAAACAAAGGGAAAAUAAUUAUUUCGUCCAUGAGGUUCGAAGCAAACAUUGUGCAGCCAAAAACGUUAUUACCCUUUUGAGUGUCUGAUUUCACUGAUCAGAAACAUCAUCACUGCCUCAAAAACACAAAGCUAGAUAGGAGCAUUUUGGUCAUUGUACAAAUUUUCCUGUGAAACAAACAAGGCUUGAAGAGAAAGAUAAAAAGAAAACGAGGCUCGGAUCAGAUAUCCAAACAAUUGGACAAGAAAGAAACACCAUUAAACCAUGACUGCAAUUAAGGAAUGACAGAAAUUGAGAGAAACCUCAUUUUGCUUAUUUCCAAAGAUUGCCCCGCCAAGAUAAAUGGUUAUUUAUAUCUCAGCCUGAUUUUUGAUUACUGAUAUAUCAUCAUAGCCUCAUCAAAUAGACAUUAUGUAUAUUAUCUAUGUUGCAUGGAAACGGAAACGUAGGCGCGUGGAAACGCAGGAUCGGAAACGGACAACAUAUGAGAAAUAUCCAGUUUAAGAGGGGAACAAUGCUUCCAAAUUGCCCAAUUUACAGAAAUUGCCCCGAGGAGUUUCCAAACAUUUCAGUGCAACAUAGAAUAUUAUAGAUAAACAGAAUGCAGAGGAAGUUCAUUAAUUAAUUUAUUUAUUUUGUUUAAUGGCUGUUGCCAACAUAAAAAAAAUGAAAUCAUCGACUUAGCUAACAAUCGGACAGGAGGAGUCAACCACCCUGAAACCUGCCGCCUGCCUGAGAGCAAAGCCUCAUUCCCAAAUUAAUGAGAUACAAGUUUCCAAUAAACCAAACAAGGAGAGAGAGAGCAAGGGAUUUGGUAAAUUACAAGGCCCCAUUUGCAAAAUGAAAUUUCAAAUGAAUUUUCAUUUGCACCGAACAUGAAAAUCUAGAUUUGUAAAUGAAUUCCUUAAAAUUUUGUAGAACUCAUUUAAACCAAGAGGAACGACGGAUGGAAAUAAGCUACACUCAUACUAGUUAAGUUACUCCCACUGCCAAAAAUGACAGACGAGCACAAGUUCAUCUGGGAAAUAAACUCUAACCUGCCUUUUUUGAGAGUGGUAGGCUCAGAUUCGCCUUUGGUCAGACAGAAAAGAGAACAACAUAACCAUGGCUGCAACAAAAACAGGGAAAAAUCAAAGCUCAACGUUGCCUAGCCAAAGCUCUGUUUCUUACAACGUCUGUUUUCCACUAAAAAAAAAUCAUCACAGCCUCAUAAAAAGGAAAAGUUUCAGCAAACCACACAUAUACUUAACAGAGAUAGAGAAAUCUGAAGAAAGACAAGGCUCAGAUCAGAUAUGCCUUUGAAUCAGACAAGAAAGAAACAAUGGCAUCACUAUGGCUGCAACUCGCAAAGGCUGCCCCGCCAAGAAUGCUUCAUUUCUCUCGAAUCUGAUCUUUUGGGUCACUGAAUAUAUCAUCACAGCCUCAUUAUUAUUAUUAUUAUUAUUGUUGUUGUUGCAGCAUAUAUAUAUAUAUAUAUAUAUAGAGAGAGAGAGAGAGAGAGAGAGAGAGAGAGAGACACAGAAAGAUGUUUUAUUUUCCUUUUUCUUUCUUUUCCUUUUCUUCCUUUAGGGCUGUUGGUAAUCUAAGAAGUGAAAAAUCACAGGCUCCGCUACCGAUCAGAGAGGCGGAAGUCAACCACCCGGAAACCAUCAGCAUCUCUCUGAGAGCAAAACCUCAUUCUCAGCUGGAAUUUCCCCUACCAAAGAGAGAAAUACCUAGCUCUUCUCAUCUUUUCAUUUCUAAUUCUUUAUUUAUGGCGAUAUCACCUUGAUUUUAUUAUUCCAUGCUUAGCCUUCCUUUGUGCUGUAUUUAGUAGAAAACUGAGGGGUAUUAUUGCCAAUCUAUUAUCAUUAUUGCGAUUGGUAAAAAGGGCAUCAAAUGGAGGUCAAUUUUGUAAAAGAACCAAAGUACUCACAUUCAUCUUUUUACGAGACCGACACUGGCCUUGAUUCUACGCGUGUGCUUCAUGCGUGAGCGGGAGUGAUGGUUAUCGCUAUCUUGCAACAUAUCCGCGAAAAACAAUGCUCAUCUUUACGGUUUUUGAGGAUAAAUAUUAAAUUUAAUCCUUAACAGUUAAUUAAUUUUAAAAAUUCUAUAAAUUUAGUCACUUUUAUUAAAAAAUUAAAAUUUAUCUUUUCUUUUAUUAAAAAUAAUAAAUGUUAAAUAGAAAAAAAACUCAAAUAUAAAACAGGAAUAAAUAGCUUUAUCUUUUCUUUUCAAACAAAUUUCAACCCAAAAAAAAAAAAAAAAAUUUCAAUUAAAUAUUCUAUUAGUUUGAACUUAAAUUAUUAGAUCAGCUCCAGUCUGAUUAUUUUAAGUUUAACCGGAUAUCCAACCAAACAAUAAAAAAAUUAAUCAGUCCAAAUUGUCAAUUUCCCUUUCUGCAAAACUCCUACAGUUCACAUGCAGUCCCAUUGCGGUCACUCGCCGCCGUUUAGUUCGAAGUCAUGGCCUUUUCCGGUUGCCCAUCACCGGCAGUUAUGAUCAUUAACUGAAAAAAAAAAAAAAUUGGAAGUUCCAUAUGAGCUGAAUUAAAAAAGAACUGAUCGGGAAAAAAGCAAAAAGCUGAAACGAGAGGGAGAUAAUUAAGGAGGCUCAGAUCCGGAUACUAAAUGAUCAGGCAAGAGAAAGGUGAAGCACUACCGCCAUGGCUGCGACAACCGGUUGCCAGCGAAAAUGGUCUUUUUCAUUGGCCAUCCGGGUCGCCCCGCCACUAAGAAGCGGGUACUUUUGCCAUUUUUUGCCUGAUUGGACACUCUGGAAAGGAACGUAUCAUCACAGCCUUAUAUGUAUGCGUUUGUAUUAGAAAGGGAAUGAUAAAGAAAAAGAAAGGAAAAAAAAAAAAACAGAAGAGAACACUUUGUUUGGAGAGAGAGAGAGCGAGAGAGAGAUUGGACCGAUGAAAUCAUCGGCCCCGAUAAGAGCCUCAUUCGUUUUCCAGUCAGUGUCAAAACCCCAAGUUGGUCUCUGCUCUUUGUUUAUAGGGGGCUUGGUUUUCCAAUCUUCCGUUUUUGCCCUCUACUGGUUGGCUUUGGGCUUUUGGCCUUACGUACACUACAAGGGGGGGGGGGGGGGGGGGGUUUUGUCAUUAAUGGGUUUUGGGUAUUGGGUAUAUAUUGGAUAUAUAGAAGGAAUCUUUUAGUAAUUUUUGUACGAUUAAGUGCACGUCUCAGUUAAGCUUAAUUGUCAACAUAUACUUUGAAUGAUAAAAAAAAAAAAAAAAGAAUUAAAAUCCACUAUUUAAUAAAUAAUUUUUGUUCAAAAAUGGGUGUGAUAAUCGCCCAAUAGAAUACAAUAACAUGUUAAUGAGUAAUUAAAUCAUAAUCGUUACGUUAAUUAGCAUGUUAAAAUUUAAAAUGUCUUUAAAGCAGAUCAAAUAAGCUCAUUUAAAAACUUUAUUGAAAGCACAUUUUCAAGCUUAGAGAGGCAAAAGACAAUGCAAUUAUUCAAAUAUUUGAAUUUCUACAAAGAGAAUAUAUAACAGAAUUCUGAAUUAAAUCAAGAAGAUCGAUCAUUUAACAUUUAUCUAGAAGCUCUAAGCAGCAAACAGAUUUCAAUAAAUUGUGAAUCGAACUGAAUAAAACAUUACCUAGAAUCGCCACAAAGCUGAAGACUAGAUUGUAAUGAAUGGCAUUUUUACACAGGAAAAAAUAAUGCUAGACAAAAGGAAAAGUUGAAAGCUUAACAAGCAAGAAGGAUUCGCACCAUAGAAUGGGUUCUUUCAAUAAUUAAUUUACAUGAUCUCUUUACCCCCUUGUUGGAUUAAAUUUUUGUACACCACCUCCCCUCUUGAUGUAACGAAGUAGGUUGCCUGCCAUUGAAAGAUAAAUGAUAUCAGGGUUUUGCCAGAAUCAAAAGGCAUUUAGGAAUCUAAUAGAACAUUAAAAUAACCCACCAUGAAUCAUAUGAAAUUAAUUUUAGUUUGUUCUAUUACAUCAUCCUAAAAGUGCACUAGGUUUUUUCCGAACUGAUCAAUGUAAUGGAAAAUGAUAAAGGAUUAUAUACUCACAAUUUCUAGAGAACCAACUCUAUGAAGCAGAAACCCAUCAUCCAUUUCCCUGAUGCAAAAAGUAUCAUAUCAUAGUUCAAGUUGCCAAACUGGAAUAUUAUAAGAUGUGGCAUGAGUUGAGUAUUGACAUCGAGUAUGGAGAAUCAAAGUACUCACCCUUGAAAAGCUGAACUUCCGUUUAAAGAAGCCUCGUAAGGCUUGCUCUUAUUAGGAUCAGCAAUGCCUAUGUAAGCCACACCACCUUGAAAGGUAUGGUUAACACAACCCUGUGUGCUUAAGUACACGUUCUGAAGAGAAAAAACAAUAAUGAGUCAUUUUCACAAAGAUAGCAACAGAGACUUGCUAAAUUUUUAUGUUCUUAAACAAUAUUAAUUUAGUCUAUUCUUGUUUGUUGAGAGGUUUUCUAAUUCGACUGAAUCCAGUAGUUAAAAGCAUACGCAUGGAGAUUUUUCCUUAGAUAUUGAAUAUGGAGAAGCUUCUCUUCUUACCACUCCAUAUUUCAGGAAAAUAUGGUGCAGAGGCUCGUAAAGUUGUUGUGCUUCAGUUUGCUCUUCUUUCUCUUCACAAACAACCACUGGGUCAUAUCCAACAACCAUUAACCUGAAUUUACAUUACAGAGUAAAAAAAUUCAUUAAAUAACAGAGAACAAAAAUUGAGAGCAUUUAGGGCUAGAAUAGCAAGUCAUGAAGACAACAGAGGUACACUGCAAUAACAUUAAAUUCAUUUGAUAUCAAAAUGAAAAUCAUACUAGAAGAUUCUGCAGGAAGAAAAAACGGAUAACUGAAAACAACAACUAAAUCUUAGUUCCAAAUUAGUCGGGGUCAACUAUAUGAAUCCUUUAUUUCCAAUAUCUACUCUGAUGAGUAUCAAUGCAAAGCAAAGUUUAGUCAGGAAAAAAUAACAAAACACAAGCAAUUACCACUAACUAGGAUAACUGAAAACAAAAUGUUAAAAUCUUUAAAUCUUCGUAAGCAUCUAAAUCCCUGCUAGGUUAAUCCAAAAUAUCUAAGGGCAGCAAGAACAUGAAAGUAAAUGAUAUGACAAUGGCUGUUUUUACCAGCUUUCGGUGGCAGCCUCUAGUGUUUGUGUUAGCCAAUUUGACUCAUUGUUUCCAAAGCUGCUUGUUGAUCCCGCCAGCAUCAAAUCCUUAAAAGUUUGAACUUAUGUUGGCUUCAGAAAAAGACAGGAAAAAUACUACAGAUGAUAAUAGCAUAACAAUAACAAAAUACCAAGGCAAACAAGAGAAGUAUCUUCUACACCAAUAAUCCUUAGAUAUAGAAUAUGCCAAUGAAUCACAUAAAUUCAGAAAAAUCAAUGCCAGUGAAACAACUUACACCUAACAUAAAUGCCAAUUAACAAAAAGCCCUAUCCUCAUUUGAGACCCUGGUGCUCAUGUCUAAACUGUCAACUUGGUGGCAGAAUUGCAGCAAUGAUCUUGAUGAGGUGAAGAAAGGGUAAAAAUAGUCCAUUAACAUACCAAAGGCCAAAACAGGUUUGUUGAAUCCAAAUCAACUCCAUUAAGAAGAGGCUAGGGAAUAUAAGCCCCAUAUUGUUGAGAAUAUAAGCCCCAUGAACUCAAUGUGGAUCCAAUGAAAAUGGACAAAUAGAAACACAAUAAAUUCCACAUAUUAAAGAAUGUAGAAAAGUUGCAUGGCCAAAUAAACAGCGACAGAAACAACAUGUGGCAAUUAACCUGAGAUCUGAUCUAUCAAAACAUUACCCAAAAAGAAUAAAGCAGAUGACAGUUGUCAAGGAAGAAUUUCAGAAUUCACACAAACAACUUCAGCUGUUGUGAUAUAUCAUAAAGAAUACUGCAAAGGGGUCGUACAUCAUAAUAAUAUCUUGAGAUGUCUAUGAUAGACAACUAGUGUAAAUUUAAUGGAUAAGCAUAUACCUGCAGAGACUUAGUAUCCAAACCAGAAACGGUUAACAUUUUUCCAUGAGUUACAUUGAUCUGCUUGAGGAAGCAAUCAACUUUCGAACCCUUUGAAGCUCUAGUAGUAUACCUACAAGCGUUACUGUUGAUCAAUACCUACUGAAUCAAAGUAAUUGAAUAAAAAAUGGGAAUCAUCUAUCAGGACUAUCCAAGAUAUAGCAGGAACAAACAUUUGCAAGCAAUAAAAAUGUACCGAAGAGAAGUAGUGAUUGCAACUCUAUGGUAUACCAGGAAAUAUUCAUUGAUGAGAAGAGUCCGCUUGCCUGCAAAAUAUAAAUGUAGAGCUGUUGAAAUUGAUGAAAUUUAUUAAACUGUGAGGAAACUUUUGCAAUCAUUAUUGCUUAUGGUGAAAUGAGGCUGAAAAAUCUCAUGGCUAAAACAUAUCCACAUUUAUUUACAUCAUGAAGAGUCCCACAGAGAACUUUUUGCAAAAUACUAUCACAGUAACUGAAUGUUUGGGUGCCGAAGGGAAAAAGAGCAAGGAGAAAGAGGGAACAAAAGGAGUCUUACAUUCCGUGUGAGCGGAUCCUCCUCUCCAAGCUCACUAAUGUUCACCACGAACUUUGCUUUGUAAGCUUUUGCCACAUUCUCCAUCUUCCAUCACAUCAAAAAAAUCCAGUCAAGCUAUAUAAAGUAUACCAAAUAUCAAAUGCCAACAACUUUUCCAACUUGAAUAAACCAUAAUCACAUAUUACGUCUGUUUUGAAUUGUUGUUUGAACUGCUAUUGAGAAGAAUGCUAUAUUGAGAAUGCUGAGUAGAGCUCAUUAGUUUUUUUUAAUUUCUUUUUUUAAAUGAAUUCACAUGUUCUGGUCAUUAAAAUUUCAAAACAACUAAAUAACUUCCAAAUUGCUUUUCUUCAAAGGCAUCUUAAAUAGUGUCUUUCCACUAAGGAAGUUACCACAGUGCCAAAAGGACUAGCACAAAACAGGAGACGGUAAGUACUUAAUUUAAUAAAGAUGUAAAACCCAAAAAGAAGGAUAUAAGCCAAUCCCUCCGGUAAGAACAGCACAAAUUUCAAAGCAUUUGGAAUAGCGAUAAACACCAACGUGAAACUGAGUAGUUAUUAAACCAAACAAUUUACGGAGAUUAAAAUGAAAAACUGAAGUUAAUAAAGUAGAAAGCAUUGAGCUUCUAAUCUUUUCGCUCUUAAUUAAACCAAUUCCAACUAUUAAUCCAAAGGAAUAAGAAAAUUUUCUCCUACCCAAAAACAAAUCCAGAUCCCUGAAGCCAUACUACAAAACAACAUAAAAAUUUUCUAAAAUGAAACGAGAAAAAAACAGAAUUCAAUGAAGAAAGAUUAGAAAUUUACCAGUUUGAGAAGAUGGGUCUGUCGUUUAAUAGACCUAUAGCCUCCUCUAACACUAAGAAAAUAAGCAUCAACAGGUCUGAUACUGGUACUGCCAUCUCCGCUAUGAUAAAUGAAAUUGUGGGGUUCCCCCAAGUUGAGAGAAAUAUAUGUGGCAAUACAAAGAAAAACCUGCACAGCCAGAGUGCAAGCCCAAGAUCGUUUCUUGUCCAUUUUUACACAGAUUGAUCCAACCCCAACUUUCUUAUUAUUCGUAACAGGUUAUGAAUAAAAUAUGUACUAUAAUAUAAUAUAAAUACUUAACAGUGAAUUUUCCUGUUAGAUCUAAAAACUGGCCAUGAAAAGGCCUGACUCCUGAGGUGGAGGAGUCGUCCAGUACCCAAAAAAUGAUGAUAGAUGAGAGAAAGGGUGGCGUUCAACAAGAAUUCUCCGAUUUUUGUUUAGCUGUCGACAUUAUUUGUCCAAGAUUGAGAUUUAACUUUGUUUAUUCUAAUUCUAAUUCUAAUAAAAUAAGAACAUGGAAAGAGUAUUCACAUGGAUAUAAAAAAGACAUUAUUGAUUUUUUUUUUUUUUAUCAGGAUGGAUUACAAAACAGUCCUUCAAUAAUUUAUCAAAUUAGCUAAAAUUUUCAUAAUCAGAGAAUAUGAGUCUUAUAGCAUUCGAUAAGAUAUGCUAAUUUUUUGUAAUCUAAUUAAUUUUUUUAAAAAAAAUUAAUUAAUAUUUUAUUUUGUUUCUGACUGAGUCCGCAUUAAUAUCUUUUGAAAUAAUUUUCCUCAUGCGUGUGAUUUUACUCUUAGGUCUAUUUUUGUCGGUUUCAGUACGAGUAGUGCUAAGUGAAGGAGCUUAAAAAAGUUUAUAUAUAAACUCUUCUAAAAAAGAAUUAUUUAUGAAAAAUAUUUUUGUCGUUAGUAAAUGAAUGCUGCCUAUGCCAGCCGGAGAUAGUGACACAUUGAGGAGAGGAUACAAAACCUAAGUACGUACAAGAGAUGAAUACGACUAGGCCAUUUCUAGAGGAAUCUUAACCAACCCAACAUCCCAUUGCCUAUCCAAAAGAGCAACACAUAGAUAUUUAAAAAUCACAGCAGUCUUUCUAUUUGUUGCAUUAGCUUGUUCCCAAUAUAUUUAAAACAUAGUCUACGAAAAAACAAUACAAAAAAUGUAAAGGAAAAAAUAGAAAUUUAAAUAAAAUUUAAAAAAUUAACAUUCAACUCAAAGCAAGCACAUAUAUGUAGAAGAAAUAAAAUUAAACCUUAGUGUCGAACCAAUUUGAAAUAACUAUGGAUCAUUUGUUUUCAACAUCCCGCUCUGAUUUAUUAAUGUAAAAGCAAAUUUUAAUCAGGGAACAAAAAUUGGAACCUUUGCUCUGAUCAACAAUAUGCACACCAGCUAUUGCUGGUGGAACAUUUGUUCUGUUUUCGUCGUUGAACUUUCUCCAUUUUAAUCAACAAUGCCUCUUGAUUGGAGAAAAAUGACAAUAAAAUUUAAUAAUAUUCCUGGUAAGGACAAUCAUUGCUUUUUUGUCAUUUCAACAAACCAUCAGUCUAUUCAAUAUAAAAGAUAUGUAAGUUACUAAUAAAUUAGAGAAAAUGAAAAAGGUCAUUUGAUUUUAUAUCUCCAACAAAAAAGCUGACUGAUAGUGCUGUGCAAUUCCUUCAGAAUUUUAAACGUUUCAUUGCUACGACUUCACAUCAAGCUCAACUAGUGGAAUCAAAGCAACCUAGUUUAACCAGCCAUGUUAAUAAAUAGAGGAAUCAAAUAAGAAAAAAAAUACCUUAGUAGAGCAAAAUAUUAGUCUGAAAAGGGCAUGAAAAAAGAAUACAGCAACUUAUUUUAAUAAAAAAAUUCACCAGUACAGUUUCGAAAAAAGAAAAAUCAACCGGACAGACUGAUGUAAUGAAGAAUUAGCAAACAUAUGCUCUGGAAGGACUCACACUAGGACUAGCGGUAAAGAAAAAUUUCAGUAAACAACAGACCAAACAUAGAAUUAACACACUUUGCUGCUAUCCGCAAAUCCACAAAAAAAGAUUCUGUAAACACUUCUUUUAUUUAAAAUGUCUUAUUUUUAGGCCCCAAAGGAACAGACUUCAUUGCAGCCUAAAAAUACACUUGCACAUUCACACAGAUAGACAGAUCAUUGAUACAGAUAGGUACUUACGUAUUGACGUUAGCAAUCACAGCCUUUGCCGGCCACAUAUACGAGGUAAAAUGUUUUCCACGAAUCAAACAAAGUUUAAACAGAGAAAUUUAGAGUAAAGGAGGCUCAGAUCAGAUAUGCCUUUGUAUAAGACAAGAUAGGAACACCAUGGCUGCAUCCAAGAGCGGGCAGGGAGUGAGGGAAAACCCUUACUCCUCUGAUUGCCAAAGGCUGCCAUGCCUAAAGAAAUAAUGUGUUUCUCUUUUUUGGGUCACUAAAUGCAUUAUCAGACCCUCAUUGCUAUUAUUAUUAAUGUUAUUGUCAACGUAAUCAUCAUCAUCAUCAUCAUCAUAUAAAGGGCUGUCGUAGGAUGUGAAAUCACCAGCUCCGCUACCCAUUUGAGAGGCAGAGUCAACCACCCUGAAACCAUCCACCUCUCUGAGAGCAAAACCUCAAUCUUAAACUAAUGAGCUAGAAUUUACACCGAAUCAUCAUUGCCUCAUUUGCUGUUGUUAUCAACAUAAUCAUUUUCACCAUCAGCAUAUUCAGGGCCGUUGGUAAAAUAAGAUAUGAAAUCACCUGAAACCAUCCAACUUUCUAAGAGCAAAUACCACAUUCUUAAAGAAACAAGCUAAAAUUUCCACUCCAUAAAAAGAGAGGAAAAAAAAAAGAAAUGGAAAGAGAAACGGAGCUCAGGACUUAGGUAUUAAAAAUAGUAGAAUGGUCACAACAAAGAUGAAGAUCAAAGCAAGAAGAAUAUAGUGGGAUUUACAAUUAAAUAUGGUAAAUUUUAGUCAGUCUAUAAUGUGACAACUGAACGGAUGUAAAGUGAGUUUUUCAAACUGAGACUUAUGAGAGUGAAGAAAAUGUAUGAGAAGUGCUCACUGUCGCUAUUUUAGACAACAUCAAAUAUUUUUCUAAAUACUUGAUCAUAAUGCUUUGAAAUUAAGACACCAAGCUAUAACCAACACCGCAUAUAAUUUAUUAACAAAAGGAACCAUCCAAUACGUUUUCCUCGUUCUAACUAAAAGAUUAAAAAAUAUUAACAAGCAAAAAGUAUCUACAUGUUUUUCCUGGGUUUGAUUGAUACAUUAAUGACGUAAAGGGUGAUCCCUGCUAAAGCAAUUCUUCACUACUUGACAGUAUAAAUCCCUUGCAUUGUGAUUGUUGACAUUUCACCUCUAAGCUUAAAUUGACAGUUCUUGACCCAUGGACUAAAAUUGACAAUCACAAUCUAUGGUUCUAAAAAACAGUUCAACAUAAUAUCUCACUCACAAAGGAAGAUUGAGAAACAGAAAUUAAAAUUAAGCCAAACUUUGUUCACAUUCCAACAAUGUUCAGCAAAUGUUAAAACUCAAUUCUACCUUGGUUUAAGCAUAUAAAAGGAGGCUCAGAUUCGCCUUUUUCCAAACAGAAAAGUGAACAGGACAACCUCACCCUUGCUUGAAAUAUUUUCCGGAAAACAAACAGAGCCUAAAUAGAGAAAUGCACAGAAACGGAGGCUCAGAUCAGAUAUGCAUUUGAAUCAAACAAGAAAGAAACACCACCACAUCAUGGCUGCAGCCAAGAGCUACCAGGAAAAGGAGGGAAACCCACAUUCCAGCGACUCCAAAGGCUACCCCGCCAGAAGAAUGAUGUUUAUAUUCUAGUCUGAUUCUAUAACACUGAUAUAUCAUCAUAGCCUCAUUACUUUACCUUCAUAAACCUUCCAUCAUCUCAUCCUUGGUCAAAGUACAAAGUUAGGGGUGAAUUUAUAUAUUCGGCCACUCUUUACAUGAGAGGGAGGAUGGCUGUUGGCAAAAUAAGAAGACAAAUCACGGGCUCCGCUGCUUAUCAAAGAGGUGAACUCAACCACCGUGAGACCUUCCACCUCAGUGGAGCAGAACCUCAUUCUUAAACCAAUGAGCUACAAAUGUAUUUGAGAAAAAAAAAAAAAAAAAAAGAAAAAGAAGAGAUGAAAUGAGGCUCAGAUUCGCCUUUAAUCAAACAAUAAAAGGAACAGAGUGACUGUGGCUGCAAAAAUGGAGCUCUCUACAAAGAACAUAUCCACAUUGCCCCGCCAAACCAUCAAAUUGUUCUUUAUUGUUAACUUCUUGCACUCGAGAAAAAUGAAAAUCAUCAUAGCCUCAGCAACAACAGAACCUCCACAGAGAAGAUUAUGUACUGCUGUAAUGUAGAUCAAACCUUAGGGACGAAAUAAUAAUUUACCCAAAAAUAUAUAUACACAUACAUAUACAUAUACGCAAGAGCGAUUGAUUCAUAAAACGACGGUGAAAUCAUCGGCUCCGCAGUCGUUCAGAGAGCAGAGCAACCGCCAAACUCAACAGUCUCUCUGAGAGCAAAGCCUCAUUCAGAAGAGGGCUUGAUGCUGCUUUGCAUCUUCUUGCAUUUUAUUGUAGGCUAGACUUCUAUUCCAUUACUACCCUUUACCCUUUCGAGUAAACUGAGUCCCGAGACGCCGAGGGUAUCUUUAACCUUUGGUCAUUGUAAUUUUGUUUAUUUAUUUGUCGGCAAAAUCGAAGAUUUGGGUCCCUUUCAUCAAAAAUAUUCUCAGAACUUUUUGAUUUUUAAAUGUCCAAUUUUGAAGAAUACUUAUAUUUCAUGUUAAUUAGUUAUUGUAGAAAUCUUCAUUACAUCAGUACUCAUGUUUAUAUGUACG